rnacentral:rRNA from 1 species
CAGUCGCACGGGAAUACAGAGGGUGCGAGCGUUAAUCGGAUUUACUGGGCGUAAAGCGUGCGUAGGCGGCUAAUUGAGUCGGAUGUGAAAUCCCUGAGCUUAACUUAGGAAUUGCAUUCGAUACUGGGAAGCUAGAGUAUGGGAGAGGAUGGUAGAAUUCCAGGUGUAGCGGUGAAAUGCGUAGAGAUCUGGAGGAAUACCGAUGGCGAAGGCAGCCAUCUGGCCUAAUACUGACGCUGAGGUACGAAAGCAUGGGGAGCAAACAGGAUUAGAUACCCCAGUAGUCCCUGUCUCUUAUACA